UACAGAGGUCCCAAGCGUUGUUCGGAUUCACUGGGCGUAAAGGGUGCGUAGGCGGUCGGGUAAGUCUGAUGUGAAAUCUCACAGCUUAACUGUGAAACUGCAUUGGAUACUAUCCGGCUCGAGGAAUGGAGGGGAGACUGGAAUACUUGGUGUAGCAGUGAAAUGCGUAGAUAUCAAGCGGAACACCAGUGGCGAAGGCGAGUCUCUGGACAUUUCCUGACGCUGAGGCACGAAAGCCAGGGGAGCAAACGGG
rnacentral:rRNA from 1 species